rnacentral:rRNA from 1 species
AUUGCCUGCCCAGUGACUUAAGUUAAACGGCCGCGGUAUUCUGACCGUGACAAGGUAGCAUAAUCACUUGUUCCUUAAUUAGGGACUAGAAUGAAUGGCUAAACGAGGGUUCUACUGUCUCUUAUUCUCAAUCAGUGAAAUUGACCUUUCAGUAAGAGGCUUGGAUAAUAAAAUAAGACGAGAAGACCCUAUUGAGCUUAAAUUACUAGCUUAAACACUAUAAUAUUACCCCAAUUGGCUUAACAUAAAACAAAUAUGCUAGCAAUUUCGGUUGGGGUGACCUCGGAGAAUAAAUCAUCCUCCGAAUGAUUAUAACAUAGACUAACAAGUCAAAGUAACAAUUAAAACCUUAUUGAUCCAAUUCUCUUGAUCAACGGACCAAGUUACCCUAGGGAUAACAGCGCAAUCCUAUUUAAGAGUUCAUAUCGACAAUAAGGGUUUACGACCUCGAUGUUGGAUCAGGACAUCCCAAUGGUGCAGAGCUAUUAAUGGUUCGUUUG